ensembl:misc_RNA
UUAACAGCUCAGGAAGCUUAAAUCCUCAGAACAGGCACAGGAUGGACAGUGACACUGCAAACUUCUCCACACUGUCCUGCCAAUCUACGGUUACCUGAACCCUGACAUGGGGUCACCUGUGGGGGUGAGACGGUAGUUCAGUUUCCAUGCCUGUUUAAUCCUUGGCCUCU